ACAAGUACCGUGAGGGAAAGUUGAAAAGUACUUUGAAAAGAGAGUGCAAGAGAACGUGAAACCGGUGUAAUGGAAGCGAAUGGAGCUGUCGUAUCUGGUACGUAUUCAAUUGGCAAUCGUUGCGAUUAAGGCUAAUGUAUUUCCGCAAGGUGUGCUUGGUUUUUUGUUGUAGCGUUUGUUGAUGCACUUGCGUGCAGAGUGCGCCGGGUUGCGUGGUGCUGCCGAAUGAAGCGUGUUUAGAGGACUGAUUCGUCAGAACCCUGGGCGCGUCUAGUUUGGUUGGUGCUGCGUAGCUUCGUGGAGACGUGGGUUUUUCGCGUGCCGUCGUAUCGAUGCAGUCGGCCUUAUUAGUACACAUGUGUGCUGGUUUGGUUGGAGGUAUCGGUGCGGUGGUGUGCUCUACGCUCUUCCCGGUGUAUAGACAGUGACCCAUUCGACCCGUCUUGAAACACGGACCAAGGAGUUUAUGGUAUGCGCAAGUCAUUGAGUUUUGAAGCUUAAAGGCGUAAUGAAAGUGAGACAGUAUUUGUUUUAACGUGAUUAGGUGCGGCAUUCGUGCGGCCUAAGCAACGUUGCCCCAUUUCGAGGACUUGUCCUGUUGUGGAGGUUGAGCGUAUGCUAUGAGACCCGAAAGAUGGUGAACUAUGCCUGAACAGGACGAAGCCAGAGGAAACUCUGGUGGAAGUCCGAAGCGGUUCUGACGUGCAAAUCGAUCGUCUGAUUUUGGUAUAGGGGCGCAAGACUAAUCGAACCAUCUAGUAGCUGGUUCCUUCCGA
rnacentral:rRNA from 1 species